rnacentral:snRNA from 1 species
AUCUUUGCGCUUGGGGCAAUGACGCAGCUCAUGAGGUUCUAACCGAGGCGCGUCUAUUGCUGGUUGAAAACUAUUUCCAAACCCCCUCUUAGGCCUGGGCUUGAGCCUGGCCUUCGAGAAUUCCCAAAAAAAAAAUGAUU